rnacentral:lncRNA from 1 species
CAAAAAGAGGAGGAUUGGCAGCAGAUGCUAUCUCUGGGUCAAUCUUCCUCACCAAAAAACAUAAAGAAUCAUGAAGAGUUAGGAAUUGCAUGAAACGUUAAUCAAAAGUUUCAGUAUGUCAGCACUUGUGAAGAUACAAUGGUGGUGGAUGUCAUUAUGAGACACUCAUUUCGUAAAGCACAGGUGAAAUAACACAGACUGUCAAGUCAACGUCUAUCAGGUUUCUCACACCUCUCUCCCUCUGCCUAGCCCUCUGGUCUCAGUGAUGGCCCACAGGGGUCUGGGUCAUGAGAGAGGGUCUUGCUAAACUUGAUGCUUUCUAAGAUCAGCAUCAACAGUAAUGCUGUGCCAGAAAGGACACCCAACUGGAAGAAAUGAAGGGCGACAGCGAUAAGGCACCGCAUGUUGAAGUUAAUGGAGAAAUCAAGAUGGUCUGGAAGUGCAGCCGACUGCCCUGCUGACCGAGAUGAGGGGCACUACGACGGCGUGGCGGAACAAAGCCACAGAAGGGUAAAGAACUGAAUGGGCAAGUACUGGCUUCUGCUGACAAGACAAGUACCAACAGGACCAAGAUGGCUGAGCUGCC